CGGGCGGCCAUGAGCCCGGGCCAGGGUCGGGGCUCGGGGCUCCUCUCGCUUGGCCCGGCCCGGCCGCAGUGCGGGCGCGGGAAGAGUUGCGGCGCUUCCCCCGGCCCCCCUCAGCAGCGCUUGUGCCCGUCCCGGUCGCGGGCGGGAGCAGCUGCGGGCCGGGUCGCCUCCUUGGCAGCCGGGCAGGGCACGCACGUUUGCUGCGCGGAGGCUCCGUGGUGUCGCCUGUCCGGGGCGGGGGCUGUGCUGUGGUGCAGGGGUGAACCCUACCCCCUCUUCCCCAGGGCCCCGAGCCCGCCCCGGCACAAGGACCCGCGCGUCCUUCAGGGGAGCUGAGCCCCCGCAUGCGGCGGCCGCGGGCAGACUAGGUGCCAGUAGGGACUGGAGGGAGGACGGGGGCAGUAGUGGCUGUUGAGCAUGGGAGUGAGGGAUAUGGCCUCUGAAUCCAGACUUCCCGGACCCAAAAUGUGGGGUGCUGCCAGGGGAAAUGGACCGACCCAGGUCAUGCUCAGCUCGCACCCCCCACAUCCGCACUCUGCCGGACCCGGGGUCUGGGCUGGCCCGCUCGUGUUCUUGCGCACUGCCAGGUGCUGAGCUUUUGUCAACACCCUUUAGCCCCCAGCUGGAUUUGAGGGUUUCAGUGAUUUUAGCUGAUGGCUACGGUGAAAGCAUUUGACCUAACACCUUCCUUCCCUGCUGUAACCCCUGGGAGGGGAGAGUGCUGUAGGUCUGGGAGGGCUUCUUUUGGGCCUUCCUGUGCCUUUCCGUCAAACUUUCCAAGCUAAGCAAUUAUUUGCUGCAGUGAACUGACUGCAAGGUAGUUUAAAAGUAAAGUGUGGGAAACUUACUAUUCUGUUACAUGAGCCCUGGCUCUUCCCACAUAGGUAAAACAAAUUGGAGUUGCUUAAACUUACUGAAGAGUGAGUCUUGGUGGCACCAGGCACCAGCAAGUUGUGUUUUAAACUGGAACAGAGCAUGGAAAAUAGUGUGUUUAGUCACUCAGGACUGUAUUUUGCCAUCAACCUUUUAAGCAGCGUCGACAAGGAAUUCUGCCUGAAAUGGAUGGCAUGAUAUGGCCCUUUGGGAGGAUACUGGCAAAUAAGCAAAUUAAACGGAAAGAGAGCAUCAUGUUGUCAUAGCAACAGUUCAAUUAAAUUAUGUUACUGUCAGCCAUGAUAUAAUUUUCCUGUUUAGAGCUCAUGGGACAUAACUUCUGUUUGGAGCCAAAGUUGAGUUUGCAGCAGAGGUAAACGGUGCCCAGUGCUUCCAUGUGAAGUAAUACUCCUGUUUAUCUUCCAGAUAAGUGUCUAGGAAGUACUGUUCUAGGAAGGAAGAAUUAUAAAUUGUAUUGGUUAAGCAUUUCGUUGGUGAUUAUUUUUUUUCCCCUCCUCCAGAUCUUUGUCUUUUUUCUGGAUAUAAUAAUGACUAUUCAUGGAUCUUGUUAGUGUUUUUAUUGUAUACUAGAUAUUUUACUGCAUGAAAGUGGCGUACCUCAGUUUCUGGACUUUUUAAUUUUGUUUUUAUUUCCCUUGCCGACUAAUGCUUUGAUAUGUAUGAAAACUGAAUGUUUUUCCCUUCUUCCUUCCCUGCUUUCUUGCUUGCUUUCUUUUCUGUAGAUUGCUUUACUCUUCGGCUGUUGUUUAUAACCCUCCUGUUUAAAUAACACAGACUAUUUAUCUGACCAAACUUCUAAUCUUUCCAAGUCCUCUGGAAUAUUAUUGAUCUCUCAUUUCCUGUAGGGCCCCCUGGUGAAGUAUCUUCAGCAGUGCUGUCACUGAACUUCUCCUAAAGGUGUGGGGGCCAAUUGUGUUGGCAGGAGCUUCUGUCUAAAUGGGUCCAGUCAUGCCUCCCAGUAAGAAGCCAGAGGGCUCGGGAAUUAGUGUUUCCAGCGGACUGAGUCAGUGUUAUCAGGAUAGUGAUUUAUCAAAGGCACUUCCUGAAGAGGAGGACCUAGAUCUUACUUUGCCUGCCAUAAGAUUAGAUAAAGCGGCCAUGGAGGAUGAAGAACUAACUAACUUGAACUGGUUACAUGAAAGCAAGAACUUGCUGAAAAGCUUUGGGGACUCUGUCUUAAGAAGCGUUAGCCCAGUUCAGGACAUUGAUGAUGACACGCCACCAUCUCCUGCUCACUCUGACAUGCCCUAUGAUGCCAAGCAGAACCCAAACUGCAAACCUCCUUAUUCCUUUAGCUGCCUCAUAUUUAUGGCCAUUGAGGACUCGCCAACCAAAAGACUGCCUGUAAAGGAUAUAUACAACUGGAUCCUAGAACACUUUCCCUAUUUUGCAAAUGCACCUACUGGAUGGAAAAACUCUGUGAGACAUAAUCUAUCAUUAAAUAAGUGUUUUAAGAAAGUGGACAAGGACAGAAGUCAGAUACUGAGCAACCUGCAAACAAAUCAACAGAAAAAUGGAGACUCUCAAAGUAUUGGAAAGGGGUCCUUGUGGUGUAUAGACCCAGAAUAUAGACAAAAUCUUAUUCAGGCUUUGAAAAAGACACCCUAUCACCCAUAUUCGCAUGUGUUCAAUACACCUCCCACAUCUCCUCAGGCAUAUCAAAGCACAUCAGGUCCACCCAUUUGGCCAGGAAGCACCUUUUUCAAGAGGAAUGGAGCCCUUCUGCAAGGAGGUAGUACUAAGACUGGAUCCUUGGAAAUUUUGUCAGGAUGAGUUAGAGUUAAUGUCUUCAGUCACAAAACUCUUUUGGAAGAAACAGGAAAGAAGUCCAACACUAGAAAAGACUGUGCUUUAUUUGUUCAAGUCAUAACGAAAUAUACCAGAGGAUCACCCUGGGCCACUGCGCUUCAAGUACCAGAUGCUACAUUUAUCCACUUUUAAUUGGCUAUUGCUGCCAUCACACC